rnacentral:rRNA from 1 species
GAUGAACGCUGGCGGCGUGCCUAACACAUGCAAGUCGAACGGACGGACGAUAAGCUUGUGUUUUUCCGGUUAGCGGCGGGCGGGUGGGUAACGCGUGCAUCACCUACUUAUAUUUCUGGGAGAAUAUCGGAAAACCGGAUCUAAUACCACAGAAUAUUCUGAACCGCAGGGUGCAAAGGAGAAUGACGGCCUUGCUGUCUCUUAUAGCUGGUUCCGCGCUGCAUUAGCUGGUUGGUAAGGUAACGGCCUACCAAGGCUACGUUGCGUAGCCGACCUGAGAGGGUGAUCGGCCACACUGGAACUGAGACACGGUCCAGACUCCUACGGGAGGCAGCAGUAGGGAAUGUUCGGCAAUGGGCGGAAGCCUGACGGAGCAACACCGCGUGAGUGAUGAAGGUCUUCGGGUCGUAAAGCUCUGUUGUUGGGGAAGAACAGAUGUGGAAGUAACCGUGGCGGUAUUGACGGUACCUAAUCAGAAAGCAACGGCUAACUACGUG